rnacentral:rRNA from 1 species
GCUUGUCUCAAAGAUUAAGCCAUGCAUGUCUAAGUAUAAACUUGUUUAUAUGAGUGAAACUGCGGACGGCUCAAUAAAUCAGUUGUAGUUUACUUGAUGCGUUUGCGAGAGUUCUAUGGAUAACCGUGGUAAUUCUAGAGCUAAUACAUGGAGAGGGCCCGACUUUUUUGGGAGGGCUGGAUUUAUUAGAUACAAGACCAAUGGCUCGCAGCAAUGUGAGUCUUUUUUGGUGAUUCGGAGUAACUUUACGGAUCGUGGCGAUAGCUGCGAUGUGUCAAUUGAGCUUCUGCCCUAUCAACUUUCGAUGGUACGGUAUUGGCCUACCAUGGUGACCACGGGUAACGGGGAAUUAGGGUUCGAUUCCGGAGAGGGAGCCUGAGAGAUGGCUACCACUUCCAAGGAAGGCAGCAGG